rnacentral:rRNA from 1 species
UACGAAGGGGGCUAGCGUUGCUCGGAAUCACUGGGCGUAAAGGGUGCGUAGGCGGGUCUUAAGUCAGGGGUGAAAUCCUGGAGCUCAACUCCAGAACUGCCUUUGAUACUGAAGAUCUUGAGUUCGGGAGAGGUGAGUGGAACUGCGAGUGUAGAGGUGAAAUUCGUAGAUAUUCGCAAGAACACCAGUGGCGAAGGCGGCUCACUGGCCCGAUACUGACGCUGAGGCACGAAAGCGUGGGGAGCA